rnacentral:lncRNA from 1 species
CAAAAUUAAGGUGGUACCUAACACUACAGGGAGAUAACUCUGUAGAGUCAGCUAAACGUUUUAAUUACGUUGUGUUGUAAAAGGAAUAUUAAGCUUCUCAAUGAUCAAAAUUGGUGUUUGUCAAAUUGCUAUAUAACCAGUGUAUUUUUUCUGACAAAACUGUUGGUUCAAAAUUUUUAAAAUUUUUAUAUUUUUAUUAAA